UACAGAGGUCCCGAGCGUUGUUCGGAUUCACUGGGCGUAAAGGGUGCGUAGGUGGCGCGCUAAGUCAGGUGUGAAAUUUCGGAGCUUAACUCCGAAACUGCAUUUGAUACUGGCGUGCUUGAGGACUGGAGAGGAGACUGGAAUUCACGGUGUAGCAGUGAAAUGCGUAGAUAUCAUGAGGAACACCAGAGGCGAAGGCGGUUACCUGGACAGUUACUGACGCUCAGGCACGAAAGCGUGGGGAGCAAAAGGG
rnacentral:rRNA from 1 species